GCUUUCAACACAGACUCCACCCAGCCAGUGCGCCACCAUGUGCGCCGGCGUUGAGAUGGUGCGGACCUUCUGACCUCCCGGCGGAAGUAAACACUAAGAAGCUAGCUUGUAGCUUGUAGCCUGCUAGCUCCAUUGUGCGGGUUGUUUGUUGGUUUUCUCCGGUCAGGAGCAACAAUGUGUUCAGCUCUGAAUGUGAGAGAGUUCAUCAGACAGCGGCUAGCUGCUGCUGCUGAAGAAAUCUUCGCAGUUUUUGAGAAAACCGUCAUUCAGUAUGAAGAAGAGCUCGACCGUCAGCGCAGAAUGAUGGAAACGAGCUGGAAAACACAAACACCCCAGAAACCAGCAGAUCUUCCACAGAAACACGUUCGUCUGGAACAGGAGGAGCUUCCUGCCGAGCCGCUGCUCUGCCACCAGCAGGAGGAGCCAGAACCUCCACAGAUCAAAGAGGAGCAGGACGAACCCUGCAGCAGUCUGCAGACGGAUCAACUGCAGCCGAAGGAAGAGUCCAACACGCUGCUGGUGGCCCUUUUGUAUGGGGAAGGGGAGACCGGAGUAGCAGAGGAAACCUUUGAUGGUCUCCAGCGUCUGCAUCAGGACGGAGGCGAGGAUGUAGAUCUAGGAUCCAUAAAGACAGAACCGGUGGGUCAGGAAGGACCUGACGACGAUGGCAGUGAGAUCAUCAACCAGGACGUUUAUCCGGUUUCAGACAAUCAGCGUGUUUCUCAGGCAGGACGCAUCGCCUUAAAAUGUGACAUUUGUGGAAAAGUCUUUAGAAAAAAAUAUCACCUGAAGAUGCAUCACAUGAGCCACACGGGAGUGAAGCCGUACGUCUGCAAUGAAUGCGGGAGAGCUUUCAAAGCCGCGUCCGCACUGAGAUAUCAUGCGAGGAUGCACACGGGCGAGAAGCCGUACUCCUGCGAGACGUGUGGAAAAAGCUUCAGGUCCAGCUACAGCAUGUUGGUCCACAUGAGAACCCACACUGGGGAGAAGCCAUACCUGUGCAACACCUGCGGGAAGAGAUUCACCAGCUCAUCAGCCUUCAAGUGGCACACCGCCAUCCACAUAGGCGACCGCAGGUAUUCCUGCCAGAUCUGUGGGAAAAGUUUCACCCAGAGCGGAAACCUGAAGGCUCACAUGAGGACGCACACAGGAGAGAAGAAGCACUCCUGCAAAACCUGCGGGAAACGAUUCAGUCGGAGCAACAGCCUGGUCGUCCACAUGAGGACGCACACAGGAGAGAAGCCGUACUCCUGCACCACGUGUGGAGAGAAGUUUCAAUACACUGCAACGCUGAAAAAACACGCCAGAACGCACACCGGCAACAAUUACACAUCUGGCUGAGCUCCUGCAUGUGAGGACGACUCUGUCCAACACAGAGGGGACGAGUGUCCCGGAGAGAGAUGAGAUGAGAGAGAUGGCGUUGGGGAAACGAGAAGUCAAUCAAAGCUAUGUGAGUUUACAACAUGUUCUACCGGAGAUCUUCCAGCAGUCUGCAACAGAACCAGAACACCGAGGCCUCACAGCCAGGUGGAAACUAGCUCCCUCUACUGGCCAAAUGGGGGAAAAGCUCAGAAGAACAUUUUAGCUACGAGUUUGAGGCGAAUGAUGGUUUAAUGUCAGGAAGGUUGAGUCUAAAGUGCAGAACAUCACAGACAACCUGGAGCGUCUCAUUCAUGAACCCACUAAACAACAACAGUGUCUUCAGUCAGAGGCUCCUGGUGAUUCACUGUAACACAGACUGCUACAGGAGAUCCUUCCUGCUACAGACAUCAGCCUCUGCAACUCUGAAGAACCUUGGAUACGAGGAGCUAUAACAUUUAAAUAUCUGCCAUUUAGUUUUUUACAGUAAAGAAUCUUUUUUUCUAAACUAAGUUUCAUAAAUUUUUCCAGUUUUACUAAAAACCUUUUUUCCUUUUAACAGCCUGUAACGUUCCUGAGAGAAAUAAAUCUGUGGAAAACAGAAAAACCUGAAUAAUUUCAUUAAUCAGAUUUUUAUUAAAACAUUCAAAAACAGA